rnacentral:rRNA from 2 species
GGGUUGUGAGGUUAAGCGACUAAGCGUACACGGUGGAUGCCCUGGCAGUCAGAGGCGAUGAAGGACGUGCUAAUCUGCGAAAAGCGCCGGCGAGGUGAUAUGAACCUUUGACCCGGCGAUGUCCGAAUGGGGAAACCCAGUGUGUUCCGACACACUAUCGUUAACUGAAUACAUAGGUUAACGAGGCGAACCGGGGGAACUGAAACAUCUAAGUACCCCGAGGAAAAGAAAUCAACCGAGAUUCCCCCAGUAGCGGCGAGCGAACGGGGAGCAGCCCGGAGUCUGAAUCAGCUUGUGUGUUAGUGGAACGGUCUGGAAAGUCCGACGGUACAGGGUGAUAGUCCCGUACACGAAAAUGCACAUGCUGUGAACUCGAAGAGUAGGGCGGGACACGUGGUAUCCUGUCUGAAUAUGGGGGGACCAUCCUCCAAGGCUAAAUACUCCUGACUGACCGAUAGUGAACCAGUACCGUGAGGGAAAGGCGAAAAGAACCCCGGCGAGGGGAGUGAAAAAGAACCUGAAACCGUGUACGUACAAGCAGUGGGAGCACCUUCGGGUGUGACUGCGUACCUUUUGUAUAAUGGGUCAGCGACUUAUAUUCUGUAGCAAGGUUAACCGUAUAGGGGAGCCGAAGGGAAACCGAGUCUUAACUGGGCGUUAAGUUGCAGGGUAUAGACCCGAAACCCGGUGAUCUAGCCAUGGGCAGGUUGAAGGUUGGGUAACACUAACUGGAGGACCGAACCGACUAAUGUUGAAAAAUUAGCGGAUGACCUGUGGCUGGGGGUGAAAGGCCAAUCAAACCGGGAGAUAGCUGGUUCUCCCCGAAAGCUAUUUAGGUAGCGCCUCGUGAACUCAUCUUCGGGGGUAGAGCACUGUUUCGGCUAGGGGGCCAUCCCGGCUUACCAACCCGAUGCAAACUACGAAUACCGAAGAAUGUUAUCACGGGAGACACACGGCGGGUGCUAACGUCCGUCGUGAAGAGGGAAACAACCCAGACCGCCAGCUAAGGUCCCAAAGUCAUGGUUAAGUGGGAAACGAUGUGGGAAGGCACAGACAGCCAGGAUGUUGGCUUAGAAGCAGCCAUCAUUUAAAGAAAGCGUAAUAGCUCACUGGUCGAGUCGGCCUGCGCGGAAGAUGUAACGGGGCUAAACCAUGCACCGAAGCUGCGGCAGCGACACUUAUGUGUUGUUGGGUAGGGGAGCGUUCUGUAAGCCGUUGAAGGUGUGCUGUGAGGCAUGCUGGAGGUAUCAGAAGUGCGAAUGCUGACAUAAGUAACGAUAAAGCGGGUGAAAAGCCCGCUCGCCGGAAGACCAAGGGUUCCUGUCCAACGUUAAUCGGGGCAGGGUGAGUCGACCCCUAAGGCGAGGCCGAAAGGCGUAGUCGAUGGGAAACAGGUUAAUAUUCCUGUACUUGGUGUUACUGCGAAGGGGGGACGGAGAAGGCUAUGUCAGCCGGGCGACGGUUGUCCCGGUUUAAGCAUGUAGGCGGAGGUUCCAGGUAAAUCCGGUACCUUAUUAACGCUGAGGUGUGAUGACGAGGCACUACGGUGCUGAAGUGAUAAAUGCCCUGCUUCCAGGAAAAGCCUCUAAGCAUCAGGUAACACGAAAUCGUACCCCAAACCGACACAGGUGGUCAGGUAGAGAAUACCAAGGCGCUUGAGAGAACUCGGGUGAAGGAACUAGGCAAAAUGGUGCCGUAACUUCGGGAGAAGGCACGCUGAUAUGUAGGUGAAGUCCCUGCGGACGGAGCUGAAAUCAGUCGAAGAUACCAGCUGGCUGCAACUGUUUAUUAAAAACACAGCACUGUGCAAACACGAAAGUGGACGUAUACGGUGUGACGCCUGCCCGGUGCCGGAAGGUUAAUUGAUGGGGUUAGCGGCAACGCGAAGCUCUUGAUCGAAGCCCCGGUAAACGGCGGCCGUAACUAUAACGGUCCUAAGGUAGCGAAAUUCCUUGUCGGGUAAGUUCCGACCUGCACGAAUGGCGUAAUGAUGGCCAGGCUGUCUCCACCCGAGACUCAGUGAAAUUGAACUCGCUGUGAAGAUGCAGUGUACCCGCGGCAAGACGGAAAGACCCCGUGAACCUUUACUAUAGCUUGACACUGAACACUGGUCCUUGAUGUGUAGGAUAGGUGGGAGGCUUUGAAGCGUGGACGCCAGUCUGCGUGGAGCCGUCCUUGAAAUACCACCCUUUAAUGGCUGGUGUUCUAACGUAGACCCGUGAUCCGGGUUGCGGACAGUGUCUGGUGGGUAGUUUGACUGGGGCGGUCUCCUCCCAAAGAGUAACGGAGGAGCACGAAGGUUGGCUAAUCCUGGUCGGACAUCAGGAGGUUAGUGCAAUGGCAUAAGCCAGCUUGACUGCGAGCGUGACGGCGCGAGCAGGUGCGAAAGCAGGUCAUAGUGAUCCGGUGGUUCUGAAUGGAAGGGCCAUCGCUCAACGGAUAAAAGGUACUCCGGGGAUAACAGGCUGAUACCGCCCAAGAGUUCAUAUCGACGGCGGUGUUUGGCACCUCGAUGUCGGCUCAUCACAUCCUGGGGCUGAAGUAGGUCCCAAGGGUAUGGCUGUUCGCCAUUUAAAGUGGUACGCGAGCUGGGUUUAGAACGUCGUGAGACAGUUCGGUCCCUAUCUGCCGUGGGCGCUGGAGAAUUGAGGGGGGCUGCUCCUAGUACGAGAGGACCGGAGUGGACGCAUCACUGGUGUUCGGGUUGUCAUGCCAAUGGCACUGCCCGGUAGCUAAAUGCGGAAGAGAUAAGUGCUGAAAGCAUCUAAGCACGAAACUUGCCCCGAGAUGAGUUCUCCCUGAGACCUUGAGUCUCCUGAAGGAACGUUGAAGACGACGACGUUGAUAGGUCGGGUGUGUAAGCGCAGCGAUGCGUUGAGCUAACCGAUACUAAUGAACCGUGAGGCUUAACCUUACAACGCCGAAGCUGUU